rnacentral:tRNA from 1 species
ACAAGGGUAGCGCAGUGGAAGUGUGCUGGCGCACAACCUAGAGAUCAAUGAAUCGAGACCACUUCCUGGUA